rnacentral:lncRNA from 1 species
ACUCAUUAGGAAGGGAAGAUUAGGAUCUGAGGAGGGUUGAUUAAGAUUUAUAAAACUGAAACAAAAUCAGAAGUUAUUAGAUUUAAAGAUCUCAUCUUCAAAAAUUCUGCAGGUGUAGAACACCGCAGCCUAAUGAUCUAUUCUAGGUUCUUGUUUGAGCCACAUAAUUGUCCGACCUCUACAGGUAUCCACACGAGAAUCUAAUCAUCUAAGAAUGGAUCUUACCGGAGAGCUAGCUUCUUGCAAAAACCUCUCAUGACUAUCAUAAGUUGGAAUAAGAAUCUGCAACUUACCUCCUUGAUGAAGAACCUUUCUUCUUCAACCUUGCUCGCGAUGGAGGAAGAGGAAGGAGGAACCUUGCACGUGGAUCUUCCUUGCCUUGCUACCGUGGAUGAAGAGGAGGAUGAAGAUCCCUUGCUGCCAUGGAGAAGGAGGAAGGAAGAAGAGGAGGCAUGGAGAGGAAGAGGAGAGAAUUAAUUCAUAAUGUCUCCCUUGCUACCCUUUUAUAGAUUGGGUUUAGGACCUCUCCUAAUCUUAUUAGGAGUAUGGGACUCUAACCCACGCUUGGAUUAAUGCCAAGUGUCCAAUCCUUGUGCUCAUAGAUGCAUGACAUAUGUCCACUUAAUCAAUUGAUUAAUUUUCUAAUCACAUUAGGAUUUCCAAUCUCAUUAGGAGAAUUAAUUGAUUGAGAGCAUGCAUCCUACAACGCCAUGUGAACUUUAAAGUCCGCAUAAUGUGAACAUGACUUAAGUCAUCUUCAUCCUACGACAACAUGUGGUCUUUAAAAUCCGCACAAACCUUGGUUUAAUCAAAUUGACCGAAUCAUGAACCCAAAUCAAUUUGGGUCAAAUCCAAUUUGAUUUGGCUCAUUAAAUCAGCCCAAUUGCAAUCCAAUUGCAAUCAAUUCCACUUAAUUCUUCUUUCAUUAACUUACUAACACUUAGUAGGUUAAUUCAAUCACCAAUCAUAUUGAUGAUUGAUUUCUAUUGUGAUUCCAAAUCACAAUUAUGAUAGUCUGACUAAUUAAAUUCUCUAUGUGUGUGACCCCAUAGGUUCUAUUCUGACUGGUAGUGAGACAUAUUGAGAUCUCCAUCUCAAUAUUACUGAAAUUUCUUUCAGUGGAUUGAAACGAUUUCAGUUCUACUCUCAGGAUUCACUGAUCACCAAGUGAAUGCCUUCGAGUCUCAUAAUCCACUAGUGACACUUAGCAGUAUAUGGUGGCAACCCAACAGAAUGGAAUGUCUGAACCUUUAGGUGCAGUUAGCGUAUGAUACAGUCCCUCUAUCAUGGAUCCCACAUGACGGAGGUUAUGGAUAUCUCAUCAAACCCCAUCGUCCAUCAUAUAUCAAAUUUAUACGACUUCCAGCUCGAGAUAUGAAAAACACUUUUUCCAAAAUACCUGGUCAGGAAUUUAUCGAACUCAGUCUCAUAAAUCACAUAGGAUCACUCCUAAUCUAUCAAGGUCGAUAGAUCCCAUGUAGAUGCAACCCUAUUACAAAAUGAACCUACUGUAGCCAAUCUGCACUACAAGAACCCAAAUGGCUAGGGUCCAAGUUCACAU